GCUGCUGAGGAAAGAAAAAAAGAGGGAGAGAGGGGAGAGGGGCGAUUUUCGGCCAGGGGGGGCCGAUCGCCGGCCGGUCGCCGGAACGCCGUGUGCCACCGUCGCCGGCCACCGUGCACGGUGGCCGACAUUUCGAAAAAGGCAGACGGUAGUGGAGCAGAGACCACUUGCAGGCGUCGGUGGUGGAGCAGAGGGGUGGGGAGCACAUGCUGGCGGCUAGGGUUUUCGUUCCUUUGGUUUUGGUGUUUUUAGGUUACUGUUGGGCUUAGGUUUGGGCCCAAAUUGGGCUUGUACAAUAGGUAUUUGUACGAGACAAAAAAAAAACUCGAGUAUAAAAAGAAUUCAGCAAUCAAAAUUGAACAUUAAGGUCAAAUAUAA